rnacentral:pre_miRNA from 14 species
UUCCUUGACCUUGAAAGACCCCCGGAGUGGGGAGAUCCUCACUCAAGUCUCGGGAUGACGCAACCCCCCAAGAACUCACACAAGACC